GACGAACGCUGGCGGCGUGCUUAACACAUGCAAGUCGAACGAUGAAGCCGGAGCUUGCUCUGGUGAAUUAGUGGCGAACGGGUGAGUAACACGUGAGUAACCUGCCCUUGACUCUGGGAUAACUGCGGGAAACUGUAGCUAGUACCGGAUACGACCCUCGGAGGCAUCUCCUGGGGGUGGAAAGAAUUUCGGUCAAGGAUGGACUCGCGGCCUAUCAGCUAGUUGGUGAGGUAAUGGCUCACCAAGGCGACGACGGGUAGCCGGCCUGAGAGGGUGACCGGCCACACUGGGACUGAGACACGGCCCAGACUCCUACGGGAGGCAGCAGUGGGGAAUAUUGCACAAUGGGCGCAAGCCUGAUGCAGCAACGCCGCGUGAGGGAUGACGGCCUUCGGGUUGUAAACCUCUUUUAGUAGGGAAGAAGCGAAAGUGACGGUACCUGCAGAAAAAGCACCGGCUAACUACGUGCCAGCCGCCGCAGUAA
rnacentral:rRNA from 1 species